GGCAAUGUAUUACAGAGGUUGACAGGUUGGGCUCAGAAUCAGAUGGCCAGGGUUCAAAUCCCAGCGCUGCCA
rnacentral:tRNA from 1 species